CAGUAGCCGCGGGAAUACGAAGGGGGCUAGCGUUGCUCGGAAUGACUGGGCGUAAAGGGCGCGUAGGCGGCUCAUACAGUCAGGCGUGAAAGUCCUGGGCUCAACCUGGGGUGGUCGCUUGAGACGUGUGGGCUAGAGUGGGGAAGAGGGUCGUGGAAUUCCCAGUGUAGAGGUGAAAUUCGUAGAUAUUGGGAAGAACACCGGUGGCGAAGGCGGCGACCUGGUCCUUUUACUGACGCUGAGGCGCGAAAGCGUGGGGAGCAAACAGGAUUAGAUACCCCCGUAGUCCCUGUCUCUUAUU
rnacentral:rRNA from 1 species